rnacentral:pre_miRNA from 13 species
GGUACUGAGAGGAAGAUUGUCUGUGGUGAGUUUGCGUUGUUCAGUGGUGCUCAGUACACAGCCUACCUCUUUUUGGUAUU